rnacentral:rRNA from 1 species
GACGAACGCUGGCGGCGUGCUUAACACAUGCAAGUCGAACGGUGAAGCGCCUUCCUUUUUGGUGGGUGUGGAUGAGUGGCGAACGGGUGAGUAACACGUGAGUAACCUGCCCCCUUCUUCUGGAUAACCGCAUGAAAGUGUGGCUAAUACGGGAUAUUCUGGGUCUGUCGCAUGAUGGGUCUGGGAAAGAUAUUGUUUCGGUGGGGGAUGGGCUCGCGGCCUAUCAGCUUGUUGGUGGGGUGAUGGCCUACCAAGGCGGUGACGGGUAGCCGGCCUGAGAGGGUGGACGGUCCCACUGGGACUGAGCCGCGGCCCAGACUCCUACGGGAGGCAGCAGUGGGGAAUAUUGCACAAUGGGCGCAAGCCUGAUGCAGCGACGCCGCGUGAGGGAUGGAUGCCUUCGGGUUGUGAACCUCUUUCGCCAGUGAAGCAGGCCUGCCUCGUUUGUGGGUGGGUUGACGGUAGCUGGAUAAGAAGCGCCGGCUAACUACGUG